rfam:Fulmarus glacialis contig99985, whole genome shotgun sequence.
GGCCGGUUAGCUCAGUCGGUUAGAGCGUGGUGCUAAUAACGCCAAGGUCGUGGGUUCAAUCCCCCUACAGGCCA